AUUUUGUCAGUAGUAUAUACUAAAAUUGGAAUGAUACAGAGAAGAUUAAGGUGGCCUCUCUGUAAGGAUGACAUGCAAAUUCAUGAGGCAUUCCAUAUUUUU